CCUACGGGUGGCAGCAGUGAGGAAUAUUGGUCAAUGGGCGGGAGCCUGAACCAGCCAAGCCGCGUGAAGGAAGAAGGCGCCAGGCGUCGUAAACUUCUUUUGUCGGGGAACAAAGGGCGCCACGCGUGGCGUUGUGAGUGUACCCGAAGAAAAAGCAUCGGCUAACUCCGUGCCAGCAGCCGCGGUAAUACGGAGGUGGCAAGCGUUGUCCGGAUUUACUGGGUGUAAAGGGCGUGUAGCCGGGAAGGCAAGUCAGAUGUGAAAUCUGGAGGCUCAACCUCCAAAUUGCAUUUGAAACUGUUUUUCUUGAGUACUGGAGAGGCAGACGGAAUUCCUUGUGUAGCGGUGAAAUGCGUAGAUAUAAGGAGGAACACCAGUGGCGAAGGCGGUCUGCUGGACAGCAACUGACGGUGAGGCGCGAAAGCGUGGGGAGCAAACAGGAUUAGAUACCCGUGUAGUC
rnacentral:rRNA from 1 species